rnacentral:rRNA from 1 species
AUGGCAGGAGGACUAGAUCAGCUAGUGGCGCUCUGGAGAGAGUGGGGGAUCCAAGUGCUGGUGCUGCUGAGUUUAGCACUCCAGGUAACUCUCCUCAUCACGGCGGAGAUCCGCCGUCGGAAAGACUCCGGCGUGCUAAGGGUCGUCGUGUGGUCGGCAUAUCUACUGGCUGACACAACGGCCAUAUACACUCUGGGCCAUAUGUCGGUGACCAGCAGGUCGCCGGAGCACCAGUUAGUGGCGUUCUGGGCUCCGUUCCUGCUAUUGCACCUUGGUGGCCAGGACAACAUCACCGCCUACUCCAUCGAGGACAACCAUCUGUGGCUGCGCCACCUGCAGAGUUUCGUUGUGCAGGUCCUCGCGGCCGCCUAUGUCCUCUACGAGUCAUCCAUCUUCGUAGGCGGCCGCCGGACCAUGCUCGGCCAGGCCACCAUCCUCAUGUUCGUGGUUGGUGUUGUCAAGUACGGGGAGAGAGUAUGGGCACUCAUGUCUGCCAGCAGUAGUGCCCUGUCUGGGAAGAACUACAACAGUUUUGGCAGGUUGCAUUUUUGA